rnacentral:rRNA from 1 species
UACGGAGGGUGCAAGCGUUAUCCGGAUUCACUGGGUUUAAAGGGUGCGUAGGUGGGUCUGUAAGUCAGUGGUGAAAUCUCCGAGCUUAACUCGGAAACUGCCAUUGAUACUAUAGGUCUUGAAUUAUCUGGAGGUGAGCGGAAUAUGUCAUGUAGCGGUGAAAUGCUUAGAUAUGACAUAGAACACCAAUUGCGAAGGCAGCUCACUACGCGAUUAUUGACACUGAGGCACGAAAGCGUGGGGAUCAAACAGG